rnacentral:ncRNA from 2 species
GAUACGGUGAACAUCGACGGUUCCCGCAAGGGAUCAAUAGGGAAUGCGGUGAGGAUUCUCGCGAAUCCAAUUCCGCGGCUGCCCCCGCAACUGUAAGCGGCGAGCCUUUCGCCAAGCGCCACUGGGCUUCGAGCCUGGGAAGGCGGCGAAAGGCAGCGACCCGCGAGCCAGGAGACCUGCCGUCGUCGUGGUCACACG